rnacentral:sRNA from 1 species
AGCCCUUUAUCGACGUCAUGAUCCUAGUGAACCUAAAGGUUGGCAUUAUUUCGGGGAAGCUCUGAGUGCUUUCUUUUGGUUUUGGAUCCUGUAUCACUCCUAUUAUGAAUUUGAUCAUUUAGUGCCCCACGACACAUAUCCUGACCCUUCAAAGUUCACUAAUGAAGAACUUGGGAUCCCAGCAGAUGAUGAAUAAACAGCAAACAUAGGUUAUUAGUAUUUAUAGUUGGUCUAAUUGGCUGAAAAUAUGAAGAUUGUUAUAUAUAAAAUUACAUUUGUAUAAAACAA